UACGUAGGGGGCAAGCGUUGUUCGGAUUUACUGGGCGUAAAGGGCGCGCAGGCGGUUCUGUUUGUCGAGUGUGAAAGCCCCGGGCUCAACCUGGGAACUGCGCUCGAAACGGCGGAACUAGAGUUCGGGAGAGGAGAGUGGAAUUCCCAGUGUAGAGGUGAAAUUCGUAGAUAUUGGGAAGAACACCGGUGGCGAAGGCGACUCUCUGGACCGAUACUGACGCUGAGGCGCGAAAGCGUGGGGAGCAAACAGG
rnacentral:rRNA from 1 species